rnacentral:rRNA from 1 species
UACGGAGGGUGCAAGCGUUAUCCGGAUUUACUGGGUUUAAAGGGUGCGUAGGCGGGUCUGUAAGUCAGUGGUGAAAUCUCCGAGCUUAACUCGGAAACUGCCAUUGAUACUAUAGGUCUUGAAUUAUCUGGAGGUAAGCGGAAUAUGUCAUGUAGCGGUGAAAUGCUUAGAUAUGACAUAGAACACCAAUUGCGAAGGCAGCUUACUACGGAUCGAUUGACACUGAGGCACGAAAGCGUGGGGAUCAAACAGG